GUAGGUGAACCUGCGGAAGGAUCAUUACUAGAGCAAAGGACAGACAGCUCCCUCGCAGCUCGCUGCUUGGGGCCACCCGACCUCGGUUGGGUUUAGAGUCGUCAGGCCUCUCGUAGAAGCCUGGUCCUGAACUCCACCCUUGAAUAAACUACCUUUGUUGCUUUGGCGGGCCGCCUCGUGCCAGCGGCUUCGGCUGUUGAGUGCCCGCCAGAGGACCACAACUCUUGUUUUUAGUGAUGUCUGAGUAUUA
rnacentral:misc_RNA from 1 species